ensembl:lncRNA
AUGAAUCAUGAAUUUUCUUCCCGCCAUCUAGAACAGUGAGACUCCUUCCCAGAAUGUUUUAAAUUGACUUUGCCCAGAUCCAUCAGAGGAAUCCAUAUUUAUGGUAACUACAGCCUUACAAAAUAUAUUUCUUGGAGUUCCCAUCAUGGCUCAGUGGAAACAAAUCUGACUAGCAUCCAUGAGGAUGCAGGUUCCACCCCUGGCCUCACUCAGUGGGUUAAGGAUCUGGCAUUGCUGUGAGCUGUGGUGUAGGCCAGUGGCUACAGCUCCGAUUCAACCCCUAGCCUGGGAACUUCCAUAUGCUGUGGGUGUGGCCCUAAAAAGAGACUGUAUAUAUUUUUUAUAAUAUAUGAAAGAUAUAUUCCUUAAAUAAUAAGACUUAAAAGUCAAAAUUACACCUUGAUUCAUAGGCUGCAGAAUGGAUGUUGGGUUAGCAGGCAUGAAAACCAUGAAUCUUACAUCUCCAUCAGAGGUCUUGGGUGACCAGGUGUAUUGUCAAUGAGCAGUAACCUUUAAAAGGAACCUUUUUUUUUUUUUCCAAUAGAUUACAACAGUGGGUUUAAGAUAUUCAAUAAACUAUGCUAUAAACAGAUGUGCUAUCUUUCAGGCUUUGCUGUUCCAAAUAUAGAGUAGGCAGAGUCAAUUUAGCAUAAUUCUUCUUGGUUUUUUUGGCUUUUUAGGGCUGGACCUGUGACAUAUGGAAGUUCCCAGGUUAGGGGUCAAAUCAGAGCUACAGCUACUGGCCAUAGCCACAGCAACUCAGAAUCCAAGCCGCUUCUGCAACCUACAGCUCAUGGCAACGCCUGAUCCUUAACCCACUGAGGGAUGCCAGACAUUGAACCCACAUCCUCAUGGAUGCUAGUCAGGUUCAUUAUCACCAAGCCACAAUGGGAACUCCUUGCACUUUGAUAUUAUGAAGACCGUUUCUUUCCUUAAACCUCAUGACCCACCUUCUGCUAGCUUCAGACUUUUUUUUCCUGCAGUUUCCACACCUCUCAGCCUUGUUAGAAAUGAAGAGAGGGCCUUGCUUUGGAUGAGGCUUUGGUUUAAGGGCUUGUUUUAUCCGGACCUCUCAGACUUUCUUCAUAAUAGCAAUAAGGUUGUUUUGCUUUCUUACCACUGUCUUACCAUUCAUGCUUUCACUAGAGCAGCCCUUGUAAUUUCCUUUAAGACCUCUUCAUUUGCAUUCAAAACUUGUCCAAUUCUUUGAUGCAAAAGGCCUAGAUCUUGGCCUGUCUUGGCUUUUGACAUGCCUUCUCCAUUAAGUUUAAACAUUUCUUGCUCUUGCUUAAAGUGAGAGACAAAGCAAUUCUUCCUUUCACUUGAACAUUUAGAGGCCAUUGUAGAGUUACUAAUUACACUAAUUUUAAUAUUGUUUUUAAUUUUUUAUUUUAAAAUGUUUUUCCAUUUUAUUGUUUGUUUGUUUUGGCCAUGCCAUGGGAUGCAGAAAUUCUGCCAUGGGAUCAAACCAUCAACCCAUGGUUGUGCCACAGCUGCAACCUAAGCCACAGCAGUGACAGUGCCAGAACCUUGGCCACUGCACCACCAGGGAACUCCCUAAUUUCAAAAUUGUUGUGCCUCAGGUAAUAGGGAGGUCCAAGGAGAGAGAGAGAUAAGAGAAGGGUUGGUGGAGCUGUCAGAACACACACAGUUAGCAAUUAAAUUUUCUAUCUUAUAUGUGUGCAUGCAUGGUGCCCCAAAACUAUUAGAAUAAUGUCAAAGAUCACUUAUCACAUAAUAUAUGGAAAAAAGUCAUGUAUAUAUAUAUAUAUGACUGGGUCACUUUUCUGUACAGCAGAAAUUGGCACAACAUUGUAAAUCAACUAUACUUUAAUAAAAAAUAAAUUAAAAAAAGAUCUCUGGUCACAGAUUGCCAUAACAAAUAAUAGUGAAAAAGUUUGAAAUAUCGUGAGAAUUACCAAAAUGUGACACAGGUGAACUGAGCAAUUUCCUUUGGAAAAAUAGUGUCAACGGACUUUAUUAAUGCAGGUUGGCCACAUAUCUUCAACUUGUAAAAAACACAAUGUCUAUAAUAUCUACAAAGUGGAAUAAAAUGAGGUAUGCCUGUACUGAAGAGAAAAACAAUGAUCAACCUACAGUUUUAUAUGCUGUGAAUAUAUUUUUCACUAUGAAGGAAAAAUAAAGAUGUUUUUAGAUACCCAAAAGUUGGAAGAAUUAAUCACCAGUAGAUUUAUUUCUACUUCAAGAAAUACUAAAGGAAGUCCUUUAAGCUGAAAAUAUUCUGAAUCUACCUUAAAAGAAAAUGGUUAAUCUGAGUACAUAUACAAGACAUUUUUCAUAGUUUAAAAAUCUCUUUACAAUGUAACAAAACAAAAAAUAAUAACAGUAAUAACAAUUUAUUGUUAAGUUUAUAACAUACAAAAGUAAAGCAUAUGAUACUAACAGCAUUAAGGCCAAGAGGAGAGAAAUGCAAGUUUAAGGUUUUUCUACUUUAUGUAAAGUGGCAUAAUAUGACUUGUGAUAAGUUAAAGAUGCAUUCUAUAAAACUCCACUGUCUGCUGUUGUAGCUCCUAGCCACAAGUAGCUCUCAAGCACUUGAAAUGUGACUAAUUUGAAAGGAAAUAGCCUACAAGUGUAAAACGCACAUCAGAUUUCAAAGACAUAAUGGAAAAAAUAAUAUCAAAUUUCUCAUUAAGAUUUUAAUACUGUUAUAGGUUAAAAUGAUAAUUUGGGUAUAUUGCAUUAAAUUUUUAAAAAUUAAAAUUAAUUUUGCCUGCUUCUUUUAACUUUAUUUAUUUUUUUUAUUUAAAUGGCUGUUAGAAAAAGUAUAAAUUAUAUAUGUAGCUGACAUUUUAUAUCUAUCAGAGUGUUUCUCGAAACUUUAAAGCAGUAAAAAAUUCUAAAAUCAGUAAAAAGCUAAACAUCAAACAAAACUAAAGAAGCAAAUAAAUAAAAACAAAAUUUAUGGCUAAUCAGUGAACAAAAGAAGAAAAAUGAAGAUAUUCAAUUAACCCAAAGGGAAGCAGAAAAUCAGGAAAGAAAG